AACGAACGCUGGCGGCAUGCCUAACACAUGCAAGUCGAACGAGACCUUCGGCUCUAGUGGCGCACGGGUGCGUAACGCGUGGGAACCUGCCCUUAGGCUCGGAAUAACUCCCCGAUAGGGGUGCUAAUACCGGAUUAUGUCUUCGGACCAACGAUUUAUCGCCUUUGGAUGGGCCCGGGUUGGAUUCGCUCGUUGGUGGGGUAAAAGCCUACCAUGGCGACGAUCCGUAGCUGGUCUGAGAGGAGGAUCAGCCACCCUGGAGCUGAGACACGGCGCAGACGCCGACGUGAGGCAGCAGUGGGGAAUAUAGGACAAUGGGCGAAAGCAUGAAGCAGCCAUGCCGCGGGAGUGAAGAAGGUCUACGGAGUGUAAAGCGCUGUAAGUUGGGAGGAAGAGCAGUAAGGUAGUACCUGGCUGUUUUGACGUUACCAACAGAAUAAGCACCGGCGAACUUCGU
rnacentral:rRNA from 1 species